UACGAAGGGGGCUAGCGUUGUUCGGAAUUACUGGGCGUGAAGCGCACGUAGGCGGAUAUUUAAGUCAGGGGUGAAAUCCCAGAGCUCAACUCUGGAACUGCCUUUGAUACUGGGUAUCUUGAGUAUGGAAGAGGUGAGUGGAAUUCCGAGUGUAGAGGUGAAAUUCGUAGAUAUUCGGAGGAACACCAGUGGCGAAGGCGGCUCACUGGUCCAUUACUGACGCUGAGGUGCGAAAGCGUGGAGAGCAAACAGG
rnacentral:rRNA from 1 species